AGGGCGAGUUUGCGCACGAGGCUCUGUUUCUCACGCUCAUCACGCCUCUGUAACCUUGGGAAGUGGUCUUUUUUCGUAGACCGUCGCCUUUUGUGGCCCCUCACAAACUCUAGUUCUGCUCAUCUCCCCGCCCUGUUUUUGCCCCCGUGCGGCGCUUCCCCGGAGACAGCAGGGACCCGUUGACACCCGUGCAUUCCGGUCCUCGGUAGGCUCGAGAGUCAGCGGAGCCCGGGUCUGGCUGUUGCCCCUUCUGCCUCCGGUCUGCGAGAUUAUUUCACAGGUUUUUGAUUCAGAGGAUUCGCUUUUAGAAGUGAUUCAGCUAUUAUUUUCCUUAGUCACACACACAUGCAUCAGAGACUCUCUAAGUCUCGAAACUGAAUGACGCCCAAAGAAAGACCAGGAACUUUAUCCCUACAAGGGAUGUCUGUGUGUAUGUUUAAUAAAUUAUGGGCUGGAAUAUUGAUAA